ensembl:snoRNA SNORA84 small nucleolar RNA, H/ACA box 84
GCCCUGUGGUUGCUGGUUGCUGUUGUGCAGGUACAGCUAUCCAGUGGAUAUAUUGGGCUAUAGUAAUCCUGUGAUUUAUGCAUGGGGGCUGUUUCUCCUUAGCAGCCGCCAUAGCCCGGUCACAGGUACAUGG